GGGUUCGAGUUCUGGCUCAGGAUGAACGCUAGCGACAGGCUAACACAUGCAAGUCGAGGGGCAGCAUAGAAGUAGCAAUACUUGGUGGCGACCGGCGCACGGGUGAGUAACGCGUAUGCAACCUACCUAUCAGAGGGGAAUAACCCGGCGAAAGUCGGACUAAUACCGCAUAAAACAGGGGCACCGCAUGGUGAUAUUUGUUAAAGAAAUUCGCUGAUAGAUGGGCAUGCGUUCCAUUAGGUAGUUGGUGAGGUAACGGCUCACCAAGCCGACGAUGGAUAGGGGAACUGAGAGGUUGGUCCCCCACACUGGUACUGAGACACGGACCAGACUCCUACGGGAGGCAGCAGUGAGGAAUAUUGGUCAAUGGGCGGGAGCCUGAACCAGCCAAGUCGCGUGGAAAAGGAAGAAGGAUCUAUGGUUCGUAAACUUCUUUUGCAGGGGAAUAAAGUGCAGGACGUGUCCUGUUUUGUAUGUACCCUGAGAAUAAGGAUCGGCUAACUCCGUGCCAGCAGCAGC
rnacentral:rRNA from 1 species